AGUGAACGCUGGCGGUAGGCCUAACACAUGCAAGUCGAACGGCAGCACAGGAGAGCCUGCUCUCUAGGUGGCGAGUGGCGGACGGGUGAGGAAUACAUCGGAAUCUGCCCAGUCGUGGGGGAUAACGUAGGGAAACUUACGCUAAUACCGCAUACGACCUUCGGGUGAAAGAGGGGGAUCGCCAGACCUCUCGCCAUUGGAUGAGCCGAUGUCGGAUUAGCUAGUUAGCGGGGUAAUGGCCCACCAAGGCGACGAUCCCUAGCUGGUCUGAGAGGAUGAUCAGCCACACUGGAACUGAGACACGGUCCAGACCCCUACGGGAGGCAGCAGUGGGGAAUAUUGGACAAGGGGCGCAAGCCUGAUCCAGCCAGACCGCGUGAGUGAAGAAGGCCUUCGGGUUGUAAAGCCCUUUUGCGGGGAAAGAAAUCUUUCAGGCUAAUACCCUGGGAGGAUGACGGUACCCAAAGAAGAAGCACCGGCAAACUUCGU
rnacentral:rRNA from 1 species